rnacentral:lncRNA from 1 species
GUAGGUGGGCUUAAGCAAGGAAAUAUACUAGCACCACAUUAGUCACAAAAGCAAGUUGAGUAAUCAUUCAACGGCGGUACUGUGCUGGUCCUAGGCUAAACCAUGCUAGAGACGUGAGCCUAGGCACAAAGGUAGUCACUGAAAAGAGCAACUAGCACAGCACAAAGAAAACAACAGAUUCAGCCCCUUCUUUCUUCUCCUUGUCUUGUCUUUUUUUUCCUUCUUCUUCUCUUUUUUUUUCUUUUUUUUUGUUUCUUUUUUUUGC